rnacentral:rRNA from 1 species
CGAUUCACGUUAGAUCACCGAAGUCAAGCAUCAUUGGGCGCGGUCAGUACUUGGGUGGGUGACCACCUGGAAACACCGCUUGCCG